GGAGAGUUCGCAUAGUGGUCUAGUGCGCUGCCUUGGAAAGGCAGUAUCGGGGCAACCUGAUCAAGGGUUCAAAUCCCUUACUCUCCG
rnacentral:tRNA from 1 species